GUGGGGAAUUUUGGACAAUGGGCGCAAGCCUGAUCCAGCCAUUCCGCGUGCAGGAUGAAGGCCUUCGGGUUGUAAACUGCUUUUGUACGGAACGAAAAGCCUCUGGUUAAUACCCGGGGGUCAUGACGGUACCGUAAGAAUAAGCACCGGCUAACUACGUGCCAGCAGCCGCGGUAAUACGUAGGGUGCGAGCGUUAAUCGGAAUAACUGGGCGUAAAGCGUGCGCAGGCGGUGAUGUAAGACAGUUGUGAAAUCCCCUGGCUCAACCUGGGAACUGCAUCUGUGACUGCAUUGCUGGAGUGCGGCAGAGGGGGAUGGAAUUCCGCGUGUAGCAGUGAAAUGCGUAGAUAUGCGGAGGAACACCGAUGGCGAAGGCAAUCCCCUGGGCCUGCACUGACGCUCAUGCACGAAAGCGUGGGGAGCAAACAGGAUUAGAAACCCGAGUAGUCC
rnacentral:rRNA from 1 species